CCUUGGCUGGAAAGGGUACACAGCUCAGCAGCACUUACUCCAUACUGCAUACGGGCACCAAGCGAAUAGUAAAAAAACAGAGAAACAUACACACAUACAAACAUCCACACACAGUUUGGUAGUGCUAAAAGUUGUGUAAAUUAAUGGAGACUUGAGAAUUUAGACAAUAAAAACAUCUGUGAAUAAUUAAUUAAUUACAAAUGCAACUUAAACAAAAGGAAAUUGAAGAGUGUUCGAUACGAUAAAGAAAGCAACAAAAACUUAUACAAAAACAAAAAGAAAAACAAGAAAAACAUACAAUAAACGCACUGAACUUUGAAAUAAAUGCAAAAAAAGAAAGGAAAAACUUUGUCUACGUCUGCGUUUGGACUUGGACUUGGUCUCUAUGUUACUGCGUAAGGAGCGUAGAGGAGCGUAGCCACGGUGUGUAAAGCACACGCACGCAUACGAACUCGCAAAAGUACACACACACACUCCAUUUUCUACAUCACUUCGUGCCUGUGCAUCUGCCUAGCGGCUCAGCACCUGCCCCCAGCCUCAGACUCAACCUCAGUGCGCCGCAGUGCCAACCAGCCAGCGUCGGAUUGAGAUUCAGUAACAGUAAAACAGCAUCAGCAUUAGCGGCGUCAGCUCCCCCAAACUUUGUGCGCGCUGCCAACAUCAAACGGUCGCGCGCUCAGUGUUCAUUAUACAAAAGAGAGUUACUGCUGCUGCUACAGCUGCGUGUGUGUGUGUGUGUAUUGCUGACUGAGUGCUGUUCGGAGUUGUGCUUGUAUAUACUGCUGCCUUCACCCCAAAAUCUCUUAUUGAUUUUGGAUUCAAACACACACUCCGCCGUCGUUGUCGUCCUCGUCCUCGUCCUCGUCGUCAUCAUCAUCGUCGUUGUUGGUGUCGUGUGUUGCUGUAGCUGACUGCUAACGAGAGAGGCAGCCGCCACAAAAUUCAACAUACAGCAGCCAGCAAACGCAUACAGUGUUUGUUGCAACGAGCUUGGCGCACGGCCGGGCAGUCAAAGUUGGGUACGACGUUGAGCGGCGUGGCGCGAAGCAAAGAAGUGUGGCAAGCUUGUACGGUACUGUCGCACGCCCACCCGCUAACCGCUCAUCCAGCCAGUCAGGCAAGCAGUCAGUGAGCCAACCAGCCGUGAAGAUGCUAGCAAUAUUGUAAACACGCAUGCUUACAAAAUUUAUUUAUACGAAAU